rnacentral:rRNA from 1 species
CCUACGGGGGGCAGCAGUGAGGAAUAUUGGUCAAUGGCCGGAAGGCUGAACCAGCCAAGCCGCGUGAAGGACGAAGGUGCCACGCAUUGUAAACUUCUUUUGUCAAGGGAUAAAAUCAGGCACGAGAGCCUGACUGAGGGUACUUGAUGAAAAAGCAUCGGCUAACUCCGUGCCAGCAGCCGCGGUAAUACGGAGGAUGCGAGCGUUAUCCGGAUUUAUUGGGGUUAAAGGGUGCGUAGGCGGGCUGUUAAGUCAGCGGUAAAAGCUUGGGGCUCAACCGCCGCCGAGCGAUUGAAACUGGCUGUGUUGAGAGGACUGGAGGUAUGCGGAAUGCGCGGUGUAGCGGUGAAAGGCUUAGAUAUUACGAAGAACGCCGAUUGCGAAGGCAGCAUAC